CCUACGGGGGGCAGCAGUGAGGAAUAUUGGUCAAUGGGCGGGAGCCUGAACCAGCCAAGCCGCGUGAGGGAAGAGGGUACAGCGUAUCGUAAACCUCUUUUGUCGGGGAGCAAAAGCCGGACGUGUCCGGCUGUGAGAGUACCCGAAGAAAAAGCAUCGGCUAACUCCGUGCCAGCAGCCGCGGUAAUACGGAGGAUGCGAGCGUUAUCCGGAUUUAUUGGGUUUAAAGGGUGCGCAGGCGGAUUUUUAAGUCAGCGGUCAAAUCGUGGGGCUCAACCCCAUCCAGCCGUUGAAACUGGGGAUCU
rnacentral:rRNA from 1 species